rnacentral:rRNA from 1 species
GACGAACGCUGGCGGCGUGCUUAACACAUGCAAGUCGAACGGAAAGGCCCUGCUUUUGUGGGGUGCUCGAGUGGCGAACGGGUGAGUAACACGUGAGUAACCUGCCCUUGACUUUGGGAUAACUUCAGGAAACUGGGGCUAAUACCGGAUAGGAGCUCCUGCUGCAUGGUGGGGGUUGGAAAGUUUCGGCGGUUGGGGAUGGACUCGCGGCUUAUCAGCUUGUUGGUGGGGUAGUGGCUUACCAAGGCUUUGACGGGUAGCCGGCCUGAGAGGGUGACCGGCCACAUUGGGACUGAGAUACGGCCCAGACUCCUACGGGAGGCAGCAGUGGGGAAUAUUGCACAAUGGGCGGAGGCCUGAUGCAGCAACGCCGCGUGCGGGAUGACGGCCUUCGGGUUGUAAACCGCUUUCGCCUGUGACGAAGCGUGGGUGACGGUAAUGGGUAAAGAAGCACCGGCUAACUACGUG